AAGGAUCAUUAAAAACAAUAAAAAGUAAUUUUUAUUAUGUUUUAGACCCCCCUUCUGUGUAUUAUUACCUGUUACUUUAAUCCUAAACCAUUAUUCUCAAUGAUAUUUGUCUGAUUUUAUAAUAAAUUAAAAGUUAAAACUUUCAACAACGGAUCUCUUGGUUCUC
rnacentral:misc_RNA from 1 species